rnacentral:rRNA from 1 species
UACGUAGGGGGCAAGCGUUGUCCGGAUUUAUUGGGCGUAAAGAGCGCGCAGGCGGCCCGGCAAGUCGGGUGUGAAAUCCCGGGGCUCAACCCCGGGACUGCAUUCGAUACUGCCGGGCUAGAGGUAGGUAGGGGAGAUCGGAAUUCCAGGUGUAGCGGUGAAAUGCGCAGAUAUCAGGAGGAACACCAGUGGCGAAGGCGGCUC